CUAUUCCUUGGAUAAACAUUAAUUAUAAUAUAUUUUUAUGAACCCCACAAACAAUUCUUUUAAUAUCCUAGAUAUUUGUUUUUUUUGUUGGAUCAAUCACAAAUGAAGACACUUUUACUAAACAAUAUUUUCACAAUAAUCACUUCGUUACUUACAAUCAUUCAAGCUGUUAGUAAUCAAAUUAAUACAAUCAUAGGCAUCAGGACUGUCCGUUCUUGGUCAGCAAGUGCUGGGGACAAAGAAGAAUUAACACAAACUUGUACUGUUCUUGAAACAUCUACUGACUUCUAGUAUCAGUACAAAUUCCUUGCACACUACUUCUUUAGAAAUAAGCACUGUAGAUUGAGAACCAAGCAUGUCCACACGCCAGGCAAAAAAUAUAUUAGCAUAUAUUAGGUUACCAGAUUAAGCAGUUUUGAUAUUUGGUUUUGAGAAGAAUAAGAACUGGAUAAUGCUGGAAUAUAUAUUUUUACCUCUUUGGCUUGUGAAACAAAAAGUUAGAUACUGCUAGAUACACAAGACAUUAAAAUAGAGAUCAAUAUAAUGUAGUCAUGUGAAACUCAGAAAAGCAAGACGAAUCCAGGAUUAAUAUGAUAACUCCAAGACAUGCUCGAAUAAAAGAUCCAACAUGAAAGAAACUUUAUCAAAAGAGCUAAAUCGAUUUGCUUCUGUUUCAACAAAAAUGCCUCAACAUUUUCAACUUAAGAACUUAAAUUACAUACCUGAUUUAGCCACCAAAAAGAAUAAAUCUCUGAAGUUGCAAGGAGAUGAAAGCAAAAGAAUGACACAACAACAACAGCAGUAUUUAGGAAAAUUGAUGCCCAAAUUCCAGCUUCAUUUUGAUUUUUGUUUGAAACGAUUUUUUCGGAUUUUUCUUCCAAUUUUGAUUUCCUAGUGUGUUUGGGUGUUUAUCAGAGAAGUAAGGAAAUGUAGGGAGUCAGAUAUGAGAAUUGGGUGUUUCUCUGUGUGUGUUUUGAGAAAAUGAUGAAGCAAACAGAAGAAAGGGAGCUGGGGUUGCGCUGUUUGCUCUGGUUUUUGCAAAGGUCCGAGUCUGAUUUUCUCUUUUGGAAGGAAAUGGUUCUCUUCUAAUUGUUCUUAGGUUGAAGAUGCAGACCGCGGGGGAUGCACCGUUUUGGUGAAGGAAAUUAAGAAUCUGAUCUCUUCUCUAAGUUUCCUAAUGUGUAUAUAUAUUAGAGUGUAGGAGGUAGAGUUUAAAAAAAGGGAAUGGGUAUUUGUGUAGUGGGCUGAGAUUG
rnacentral:lncRNA from 1 species